rnacentral:lncRNA from 1 species
CAAUUAUUUUAAUUCAAAUAAAGUUAAUUUUUGUUUAUAAAUGUAGGUAUGAAGUUCUUCAAUGUGAAGAUUUGAAAAAAUGGUUAAAAACGGUAUUCAUCAGAUGAAGAUGUUUUUAAAAUGCGAUGUAUGUCUUGAAGACACGGACAGCAUAGUUAAGAAAAUUCACAUAUAAAUAGCUUAUUGUGGUAGGGACAAAAUGGUAUUAAAAGUACGCGAAUAGGAAGUGUGCAAAUGUUUCAUACAAAGCUUUAGAACUUUAUAAAGGAACUUUGAGAAGAAUGUCAUCUAAAAAACGUAGAGCUGCUACAGCUAAGUAUUGUCGUUAAGUCUUUAAUAAGCAAAGACAUCAAUUUUCCGAGGACAUGUUCAAACAUGCAUCAAAAAGCAGGGCAAUAAUGUAACAGUAGAUGUCACACAAACUUGUCAUGCAAAAAUUAGAAAAUUC